AUUGAACGCUGGCGGCAUGCCUUACACAUGCAAGCCGAACGGCAGCACGGGGGCAACCCUGGUGGCGAGUGGCGAACGGGUGAGUAAUACAUCGGAACGUGUCCUGUCGUGGGGGAUAACCAGUCGAAAGACUGGCUAAUACCGCAUGAGAUCGAGAGAUGAAAGCAGGGGACCGCAAGGCCUUGCGCGAUUGGAGCGGCCGAUGUCGGAUUAGCUAGUUGGCGGGGUAAAAGCCCACCAAGGCGACGAUCCGUAGCUGGUUUGAGAGAACGACCAGCCACACUGGGACUGAGACACGGCCCAGACGCCUACGGGAGGCAGCAGUGGGGAAUUUUGGGCAAUGGGGGCAACCCUGAUCCAGCCAUGCCGCGUGUGUGAAGAAGGCCUUCGGGUUGUAAAGCACUUUCGGACGGAACGAAAUCGCACGGGUGAAUAUCCCGGGUGGAUGACGGUACUGUAAGAAGAAGCACCGGCUAACUACGUGCCAGCCGCCGCAGUAA
rnacentral:rRNA from 1 species